CGAGUCCUGCAAUUGAUCAAACCCAUUCAAUUCAUUUAAUUCAAGUCCACAUUCAGGUGGGUCCCUGAGUAGUAUUAGCCCAGGGCCCCCUAAACUCACGGUCCGGCCCUGACGUAAAGAAAAAACGGUCGACCAACCAUCUUUCCGUCUUACUCUUUUUCUCUCUGUCCCUUUCUCUUUUCCACGGUUUUAUAAUAUAAUAUUUAAAGUUUUUUCUGGUAACAAUUUUGUUUAUUGUUAUGUAAUUAUUAUCCGACGUUAAUUUUUUUGAAUAUCUGUUAUUUAAUACAUAAUAUUAAAAGCAAAAACUUCGAAAGCAACUUCGUUUCAACCGGGUGUCCCACGACAGCUCUUGUUGCAAAUGUUUGCAACUUAAAAAUAAAGUAAUCCUCGUUGACAUGGUCGAAUACCUUAUUAGACUCAAAGGCUCUAAGUUUCCAGAAAUUCUAAGUACCGGUCUAGAGUUUGGAAGUUAGUGUCUCAUUCCUGUGACUCGGUAAGCUGUUAAAGCUAUAUCUGAAGUUUGUGGUCAUGACCAUGUUUGAACACACGCUGCAGUACUUAAAUAUGAUCUACAUAGUCCUCUUGAACCAUUUCGACCACGGUGCCCAAAUAGACUAAGAAUCAGACUAAGGAUCAGACAACUACGCAGAACACAUUUUGGUACCAAGUGUGUGUGCGAACACCGGUGCACUCUAUUUCUUCACUCUUAAAGUCAGAUGGGACGUCAUAUCCACAUGACUGCAAAUGACGUGUUUCCGUUUUGACGUGCAAUGUACACACUUAACUUCCAGACUCCUGCUACUGAGAUCUUUACAAAGAAACCCGAUAACUUUUUAUCAGAAAGGGAAGCCGGACAGACUGGCGCCGUAACGCGUUACGUAACGAAGCGGUUUACCCUCCCAUAACAAGUUAUCACUUCAAAAACAUAUGUUCUGUAUUAUUGGAACAAUUAUGAAGGCAGCACCUAACUUUUACAUAUAGUAUGCACCUAAUAACUCCCUCUGUCAUGUAACGUUUAUCUACUGUAUUCCUUGUGCAAUUUUUUUUAUAUAUAUAAUAUAUUGUACCUAUUAGUAUUAAGCAAAGUUGUUAAUGGGUUAAAAAUAAAUAAAUUCUGCAAGAAACUCGAAACUAUGCAAGUCAAUUGAAUCGCUCUGCUGAUGGAUCGAUGAGAUGAGAAUAUCUUACAGAAUAUCUCUGCACCAGUGAAUCGAAAAGGUCCAGUGCUUCGGAUACCUGAAUUUAAACUUAAGGUUAAAUGUCAUCUAUCUGUACCUCGUAUUCGGCGCUUAAGGGAAACAUCGUGAUGUUUAAUCAUGUGUCAAACCAAAUCAUAAGUUGACGAAUCCUCGCCCAGCUGUGGGAGAAUUUAGAACUAACAUUGUAAGAUACAAAAUUAUAUCGAAAUGCUCUUUUAAUCUAUAAGUUUUGUAUAAAAUAUGAUUUAAAUCGGAUAUAUUUUUCAGUAAAUUAUAUCAAAUAUAUUUUUUUAAUCAAUGUUCUCUAUACAAUAAGGAAAAAUUUUUAUAGACAUGUUUUUGUACAUAAAGUUUUUUAUGCA